CAGUAGCCACGGGAAUACGAAGGGGGCUAGCGUUGUUCGGAUUUACUGGGCGUAAAGGGCGCGUAGGCGGACUGAUAAGUCAGGGGUGAAAUCCCAAGGCUCAACCUUGGAACUGCCUUUGAUACUGUUUGUUUUGAGUUCGAGAGAGGUAAGUGGAACUGCGAGUGUAGAGGUGAAAUUCGUAGAUAUUCGCAAGAACACCAGUGGCGAAGGCGGCUUUCUGGACUGCAACUGACGCCGAGGCUCGAAAGCCAGGGGAGCGAACGGGAUUAGAUACCCCGGUAGUCCCUGUCUCUUAUAC
rnacentral:rRNA from 1 species